rnacentral:rRNA from 1 species
UACGUAGGCAGCGAGCGUUGUUCGGAAUUACUGGGCGUAAAGAGUGUGUAGGCGGUGUUCCAAGUUCGGUGUGAAAUCUCCCGGCUUAACUGGGAGGGCGCGCCGAAAACUGGAAUGCUCGAGCGUGGGAGAGGAAAGCGGAAUUCCUGGUGUAGCGGUGAAAUGCGUAGAUAUCUGGAGGAACACCGGUGGCGAAGGCGGCAUCCUGGACCGGCAUUGACGCUGAGGCGCGAAAGCCAGGGGAGCAAACGGG